CGUGAGAAAAGCACUGCAUUAGUGUAACUAAUGAUAUUUAUUAAUAUUAUUCAAUCAAUUAAUCAAUAAUCUUUUUGGCCUGAAUUAGCCUUUUGGGACCCCUAACCUUUUUAUCUCUCUUUUUUCUAUGUAAGAAAAAAAAAUUAUAAUAAUAAUAUUAAUUUAAAAUCAGGAUUUGUUUACCUGUUAAUUAAUCUUUUUAGAAACCUAAUCUUAUUUUAUCUCUCUCUUUUUUUGUCUUGUGCAUGAUGCCACCCCACAGAUCACAUCUUUUGGAUCUCUCUGCUCAGAUUUGGCAAUGACGUGGGUCCUUCCACCCAUUAAAGAGCCAUUUAUGUCAUGGUUGAGCUGGCUGGUGUGGCAUUCUGCCCGUUUCGAGAUCCCCCGGCUCAUCCAGCAAUAAAUUUUGAAAGGCAGUGGAAGCUGAUCUCUGUAUCAUCACCCCUGAAAUAUUUGUCCAUCUGAAGGCGUAGCAUCCCCACCGGGCCAUCAGCAUUGCACCAUCCAUCAGAAAUGCCUCUGGCACCACAGUAAAGCUGGGCUCCAUGACUCCAAACCCAGCGCCAGGUAAGUCAGCACCAUUCCAUACCCAGAAUCCCAUAUACCUCAGCUGACUCUGUGCUCAUAAUCACCUAGACUAUGCACCAUCUAUCAUAGCAACAGGCAUGACAAUAGUUGCUUUUUAUAUAGUUGCCUGGAUCACCUCAUCAUCCAGCACAUUGUGAAUUCCAAAGUCACUCCUGAUCAUCCCUGAGCUUUUUAUGUCUGCUUGAGUCAUUUUGUCCUUCUCAUGACUGUAGGGAUGAUGUAAACUUCUUCACCUGCUUCUACUUUUACCAAACACCUUGACCUAACAUACGUUAUGAUUUAUGGUGUAUAAACUGUCAUUUUCAUCACAUGCAACUCAAAAUACACAAUUUUCCGCAUUUUUUGCUUUCUUUCUAUAAUGCAGCAUUGUAUACUGUGUAUGUUUGCCAUAUGCAGUAAAGAAAACUCUGCAAGGUGAAGUUAGUCCUUGUUGGUUCAAG
rnacentral:lncRNA from 12 species